AUUGAACGCUGGCGGAAUGCUUUACACAUGCAAGUCGAACGGUAGAGGGGGCAACCCCUCGAGAGUGGCGAACGGGUGAGUAAUAUAUCGGAACGUGCCCAGUCGUGGGGGAUAACGUAGCGAAAGUUACGCUAAUACCGCAUACGAUCUAAGGAUGAAAGCGGGGGAUCGCAAGACCUCGCGCGAUUGGAGCGGCCGAUAUCAGGUUAGGUAGUUGGUGGGGUAAAGGCUCACCAAGCCAACGAUCUGUAGCUGGUCUGAGAGGACGACCAGCCACACUGGAACUGAGACACGGUCCAGGCUCCUACGGGAGGCAGCAGUGGGGAAUUUUGGACAAUGGACGCAAGUCUGAUCCAGCCAUUCCGCGUGCAGGAUGAAGGCCCUCGGGUUGUAAACUGCUUUUGUACGGAACGAAAAGGUCUCUCUUAAUACGGGGGGCUCAUGACGGUACCGUAAGAAUAAGCACCGGCUAACUACGUGCCAGCCGCCGCGGUAA
rnacentral:rRNA from 1 species